rnacentral:rRNA from 1 species
UAGCUUGCUAUUUUUAUGAAGAGCGGCGAACGGGUGAGUAACGCGUGGGAAAUCUGCCGAGUAGCGGGGGACAACGUUUGGAAACGAACGCUAAUACCGCAUAACAAUGAGAAUCGCAUGAUUCUUAUUUAAAAGAAGCAAUUGCUUCACUACUUGAUGAUCCCGCGUUGUAUUAGCUAGUUGGUAGUGUAAAGGACUACCAAGGCGAUGAUACAUAGCCGACCUGAGAGGGUGAUCGGCCACACUGGGACUGAGACACGGCCCAGACUCCUACGGGAGGCAGCAGUAGGGAAUCUUCGGCAAUGGGGGCAACCCUGACCGAGCAACGCCGCGUGAGUGAAGAAGGUUUUCGGAUCGUAAAACUCUGUUGUUAGAGAAGAACGUUAAGUAGAGUGGAAAAUUACUUAAGUGACGGUAUCUAACCAGAAAGGGACGGCUAACUACGUGCCAGCAGCCGCGGUAAUACGUAGGUCCCAAGCGUUGUCCGGAUUUAUUGGGCGUAAAGCGAGCGCAGGUGGUUUCUUAAGUCUGAUGUAAAAGGCAGUGGCUCAACCAUUGUGUGCAUUGGAAACUGGGAGACUUGAGUGCAGGAGAGGAGAGUGGAAUUCCA